rnacentral:rRNA from 1 species
AGGGCACCACCAGGAGUGGAGCCUGCGGCUUAAUUUGACUCAACACGGGAAAUCUCACCAGGCCCGGACACUGGAAGGAUUGACAGAUUGAGAGCUCUUUCUCGAUUCGGUGGGUGGUGGUGCAUGGCCGUUCUUAGUUGGUGGAGUGAUUUGUCUGGUUAAUUCCGAUAACGAACGAGACUCUGUCCUGCUAAAUAGUUCCCGCGUCCUUUGUUGCGCGGGAAAUUCUUCUUAGAGGGACUGGCGGCGUCUAGCCGCACGAGAUUGAGCAAUGACAGGUCUGUGAUGCCCUUAGAUGUUCUGGGCCGCACGCGCGCUACACUGAAGGGAUCAGCGUGUCUUCCCUUCCCGAGAGGGACGGGUAACCCGCUGAACCCCCUUCGUGGUAGGGAUCGGGGCUUGCAAUUAUUCCCCGUGAACCAGGAAUUCCCAGUAAGCGCAAGCCAUAAGCUUGCGUUGAUUACGUCCCUGCCCUUUGUACACACCGCCCGUCGCUACUACCGAUUGAACGUUUUAGUG